UAUCAAUAUAUUUUUUUCCCUCUCUCUCAGUUCUUUCUAGAAAUCAAAAGCUCUGCUUCUGUUACUAUUGGAUAAUCUCUGGAUAUUUUUCUCUUCUUUGAUGGUUUUGUUUCUUUCUUGGAUUUAGCACUGCUUUUCUCCCGGAAAAUUGAUUCCUUUAUCAUUUUCUGUUAGAAAGAAAAUUUGCAGUCUUAUUCCCAAGCCAAUUCCACUAGCCUCCAUAUCAUUACCACAGAAAACAUGGGUUUCUUUUGAAAACUAGACUCUGAUUUUUCUCAGCUAAAACUACAAACUUUUUCUCAUCAUUUCCUCAUUUUCUUGGCAGAUUUUGAUUAAACUUCAAGAAUUAACGUUGGAUUUUGUGGUGUCACUUGAUAGAUGUUGUUUCUUGGAUUUUGAAUAACGCACAGUCAAGAGUGGAGGGAGGCUAAACAGAAUUAGAAGAAACAGAGCAUACCAAAUUUAAGCAAUCACUUUCUCGUAGAGGUUUCUUUUUUACUUUCCCGAACGAAAAUUAUGCCGGAAAUUUUUGUUUCCGGUGGCGCUGGAUUUUGACAACAUUGCCAUUCACCUGCCAAGACUUUCUCCAGAAACAGAGAGAUAUAUAUUUUGAGUUUUUCUUUCUCUUUUCUUUUAUUUUAUUUUAUAUUUAGCUGUCUAAAGUCUAAGCGUCAAAAAAUAGGAUUCUCUCGCAUUUCUGUUUCUCUUCGUCACUCUUUCUAUCUCUAAAAGGAAAUCAAAUCCCGACAAUUUCUCCCCCUCUCCCUCUCUUUUUCUCUCCCUCCUCCUCUUUUUGUUUCUCUCCUCUGUUUUUUCUCUUCUGGGUUGGGAGGGAAACUAAAUUUCUCUCCUUUCUUUCUCUUUUUUUCCAUCUCUCUCUUCCUCUUUGUCCUCGAAACCAUGAUUUUUGAAAAGGGGUCAGCCCAAUCAAACCUUGACUGCUUCCUUCAUUGCACAACCCCAGUAGUUCCAUCCCAAUUCCUCCCCAAGACAGAGAUUAGAAACUUAAACCGUCUAUGGCAUCCGUGGGAGAGAGAAACAGUUGAGUAUUUUACCUUGGGUGAUCUAUGGAAUUGUUUUGAUGAAUGGAGCGCGUAUGGGGCUGGAGUUCCAAUUGUCUUGAGCAAUGGUGAAACCUUAGUUCAGUACUAUGUGCCUUAUCUCUCUGCAAUCCAAAUUUUCACAAGCAAUUCCUCCAUGAACGGUUUCAGGGAAGAGAUCGAGUCCGGUGACGGUGAGACGAGGGAUUCAUUUAGCGAUUCUUGCAGUGAAGAGAGUGAGAGUGACAAGUUAUGGAGGUGGGAUGGAGGCUCUUCAGAGGAAGGAGGAUUCGAGCAAGACAAUCUUUGGCGUCUCAAUGAUAGAUUGGGUUACUUAUAUUUUCAGUAUUUUGAGAGAUCAACUCCUUAUGGAAGAGUUCCUUUGAUGGAUAAGGUACUUUUGCUGAUUCAUUUAGUAAUUUUCUAUUGUUCAAACCUUACUGGUAUCUUUAUGAUUUGAUGUUCUUUUCUUUAAUCAGCAUUCAAUCUGCCUCGUCUUCCCAAGACCAUGGUCGACUAAAAACAAAAUAGAGGACCGAUAAAAUUGAAGAAAACAUCUAUUGAUUUAUUAAGAAUCAUCUGAAAUCCUUUUUCAUGAUAGGCAUCUGAUAAAGAUGAAUUAAACUUUUGACUUUUGAACAAGGAACUACAUGCUUUUGCUCUCCAUAGUUUCUAAAAUUUAUGCGUUUAUUAUCACUUCAUAUAAAACAUAUUAGAUUCAUCUUUUUCUAUUUUAAAGUUUAUUAUAAUGUGAGCAUAUGUUCUGGCCCUUGAUCUGGUGCUUGUCUUUUAACUUUUACUGUUAUUUGAAAGAAGAAUCCUUGAUACCCUUCAACAAUAUAAGUUUUUUAAAUUGAUUUUUGAGUCGAUUGUGACCAUUUGUACAACAAAUUCUUCAUGUCCCUUUCACAGUAUUAAAGUAAUUUGAUUCCAUUGACAUCGUCUGUGAUUUUGCUUUCAGAUUAAUGGAUUGGCUCAAAGAUACCCGGGUUUGAUGUCAUUGCGAAGUGUGGAUCUUUCACCAGCUAGUUGGAUGGCUGUUGCUUGGUACCCAAUCUAUCACAUUCCCAUGGGGAGAACCAUAAAGGACUUGUCCACAUGCUUUCUCACAUACCACACCCUUUCAUCAUCUUUUCAAGAUAUGGACAUAGAUGACGACAUUGAGAGUCCGGAAAGGAAGCGAAAGGAAGGAGAAAGCAUCUCGCUGCCGCCAUUUGGUUUGGCCACUUACAAGAUGCAGGGAAAUGUGUGGGUCUCAGGCAAUUGUGGCAGGGACCAAGAAAGGCUGGUGUCACUUUUGAGUGUGGCAGAUUCGUGGCUAAAGCAACUGAGGGUCCAGCACCAUGACUUCAAUUACUUCACAGGGAUUAGGCGUGGCUAAAACCACUACUUUUAACAAUGCACUUUUUUAAACCCGUGAAAAUAGCUAAUCACUAAAUCCUCCUUUUUUGUUGGGAUUUCUGGUUUCGUGCUUAAGGGACUUGUAUGUGAGGAUUGUGGUAUGGUUUCUCGCUAUCGAGCAUUGCAUAUGAGUUUUAUUUUAGGUCUAAUCCAGGUAUUGAGGUUUGAUCAUCAAAGAGGGUGUGUGACAUGAGUAAACCCUCAUUUUUUUUUCUUUCUGCUGAUCUAUAAAGUGGCUAAUGGGGCUUUCCUUUGUGUAGAGUUAUGGAUGAAGUCCGAGAGAGAUAAAGAGAAAAUGCUAGCUCUUCAACCUUUUAACUUUUUUCUGGAUUGUGUAACAUUCCCUUGACCAUAGUGGUACCACUGGAAAUGAGCAGAGUGUUGAAGUUGUUGUAAGUUCUUGUCUUUAUGGUUUCAUACAAAUAUGUGCAAAUUAGACCUACUUGAUUCCCUUCCUCUAGUUGGUGGCUAAAAGCUGAUGGGAAACUCAAAUGUCAAGAAAUGGAUAAACCCAGAUGAGUCUAAAGUCUAAAACCGGAGAAAAUGCGGGGUACUUAAUGUUUGCUCAUAAUGCCUCUGCUUUUGCUUGCAUCAGCUAUGCCCUACUUUUUAAGAGCGGGAGGUGAUCAUAAUGCAAUUGAAAUCCUUAUGCUGCUAAAAUCCUGUUUUUGACUUGUGCUUGUUGCAUCUUCCAAC
rnacentral:misc_RNA from 1 species